AGAAUUCGUUAUCAUUUUUCUCUGUUGUCUAUAUUCUGUUUUGGUUCUGCCGGGAAAUUGAAAAGCGUUUCUACUUAAUGAAAUUCUGAGAUGCCUGCAGGUAUUUCUUGGCCCAAAUACAUAACAUUUGUGCUUUCUUCAAUGCUUUCAAUGUUUAUAGGAGCACAAAUUGUUCAUAAUUUCUAUAAUCCAUUAAAGGAUUUGCAUGUCUAUGUAGAAAAUGAAAAAGAAAGACUCAGAGCUGCUAAUAAGAAAGAUAUUCAAGAAUAAAUGAAUUUUAAUUUUGAAAAUAUGUAAAUUUAUUCUAUUUACUACUUGUAAAUUGUAUAAGACUAAAGUAGAAUGUUUUUUUGUCUUUUGUGUUUAAUUUUUAUUCAAAUAUUAUAUGU